AAAGUGUUCCAAUGCACAAAUGUGGCUUUAUCCAUGUGGCAUGAAGAAGCACAGCACUCUGGUGCAGUGGUGUAUAAUUUUGUUGCACAACACUGCAGAUCAAGCUUGCCACAGUCUUUGGACUGAUGAAAGCAUGGUCCUGCAUAUCCCUUUUCUUCUGAGUACCUCAUUGCUGAGGAGAAAAAACACACAGGACAUAAUU
rnacentral:snoRNA from 1 species